rnacentral:rRNA from 1 species
UACGAAGGGGGCUAGCGUUGCUCGGAAUCACUGGGCGUAAAGCGCACGUAGGCGGAUCUUUAAGUCAGGGGUGAAAUCCUGGAGCUCAACUCCAGAACUGCCUUUGAUACUGAGGAUCUCGAGUCCGGGAGAGGUGAGUGGAACUGCGAGUGUAGAGGUGAAAUUCGUAGAUAUUCGGAAGAACACCAAUGGCGAAGGCAGCUCGCUGGGACGUGACUGACGCUGAGACGCGAAAGCGUGGGGAGCGAACAGG